CGGCCCAUCCCUCCCCGGCCCGGCCCGGCCCGGCCCGGCCCAGAGAUCUGCUAACCAUGUGAAUGGAUUUUGGAGUAUGAUGUGAAGUGGUCAGGCUUCAGGAUGGACCAUGACCUUCCUAAAAGGAAAAAGAUGGAAAAUCAUCGCAGUGACCAUAAACUGUGCUGCCAACUGAAUAAGGGUUUCUUUGUAGCGUGUGCAGAGUCCAGGAAAAUGUUAUACCUGCAUUAUAUAAUCUGUCAACAACCUAGUUAGCUAUUGUCUUAAUCUAGGUUAUUCUUGAAAGCAGAGCUUGAAACAAAGGCAGACAUACUCCGUUUGGCAAUGUGAUCCAGGGAGCAGGGACGAGAGGGAGAGGAAUGACAGAGAGGGAAAAGGGAAAGAAAAUCCAAGCAAAACAAGGUAGUGUUAUCAAGUGUCCACCACUGUUAAUGGUUUCUUAGUGAUGAACCUUCUCAGGAGUCUUACUAGAGUUGGUCUCAGAACUGUCUGCCUGAGGGGUGACAGGGAGAAGCAUUUCUCUCAGCACCCAUCUCUUACGUAUUGAGAACCGUGCCCAUUGGUGUUAGCUCCCCCAUCCCUACAGCCAGGAGAGCCUCACUGGGACCAGAGCCCCACACAUGGCCCAUCAGAGAGGCCUUGGGACAGGAAGCCAGGUUCUUGGUGCGUGCCCAAAGUGAAGUGCCGUCAGCACAGCAGGGGGAGACCUGCCCAGAACUGUUCACCAGAGCGGUGGCUGCAACUGGAGACUGAAGGCACGUGAGACAGUGCGCAAGAGGCAUCUUAUAAGCCUACAGAAUGUGCUGUUAGCUGUGUCCAAACCCGUUUCCUCCCUUCUUUCUAGAAUCAGAAUCUCAGUGUCCAGAACAAGAUUGGCAGAACAGUUCACUGGGAAGGUUAAAUGUAUUAGAAUAUGUACAUAAAUAACAGUUUUCACCUUGAGGGGUGUUUAUAAGAAAUAGAACAUGAACAUGAAAACCUGGAAAAAAAUUUUUUUAAAUUCUACUUGAAAAAUUGCAGUAUUGGAUAGAGAUAUUAGAUAUCUUCUAAACCCAUGUAAUCUAAGAAAAUGAGCACAUGUUGUUUGGAGAAAUAAAACUAAACUUUUGUUGUGUCUCUAUGGGCUUUAUAAAUCAAUGUCAUUAACUUUUCUAAGAUACUGUUUUCUACCGUCACAGCACUAGCAAUACAGAGCUUACAACCAAUGACAGGAAAAAUGGUA